rnacentral:rRNA from 1 species
UACGGAAGGCAGCAGUGGGGAAUAUUGCACAAUGGGCGCAAGCCUGAUGCAGCCAUGCCGCGUGUAUGAAGAGGGCCUUCGGGUUGUAAAGUACUUUCAGUCGUGAGGAAGGUGUUAAGGUUAAUAACCUUAGCAAUUGACGUUAGCGACAGAAGAAGCACCGGCUAACUCCGUGCCAGCAGCCGCGGUAAUACGGAGGGUGCGAGCGUUAAUCGGAAUUACUGGGCGUAAAGGGCACGCAGGCGGUUAAUUAAGUUGGAUGUGAAAUCCCCGGGCUUAACCUGGGAAUGGCAUUCAAGACUGGUUAGCUAGAGUCUUGUAGAGGGGGUAGAAUUCCAUGUGUAGCGGUGAAAUGCGUAGAGAUGUGGAGGAAUACCGGUGGGCGAAGGCGGCCCCUGGGACAAAGGCUGACGCUCAUGUGCGAAAGCGUGGGGAGCAAAC